UGACAACGCAGAACACAGAAAAUCACCACAAUCAGGAUAAUGUCACCACUGGAUGGAAAGCAUCGCUCGAUGUUUGCAGUGGAGAUGGCAAUCCUGUUCUUUGGGAUAUUCCUCAAGAACAGCAUAUGUGAGAGCUCAGGCACAAAUGAGACGUGCAGACAAAAA